UAUGUUGCACAUGUAAACCAUCUUAAAUUGUUUCCUCUAUAUUAUUUUGAGAAACCUUCCUAUGUACUUUUGUCCAAAAUCAUCCAACCCAUCUGAUGUUGUCUUCUUUAAAAUAUAGUUCUCUUCUUCUCUGAGGCCUUUUUUCCAUUUUGGGCACUAGAUAAGUUGCUAGGGGGUCAAGUCUUGAAUAGAUGUAUGUUGCACAUGUAAACCAUCUUAAAUUGUUUCCUCUAUAUUAUUUUGAGAAACCUUCCUAUGUACUUUUGUCCAAAAUCAUCCAACCCAUCUGAUGUUGUCUUCUUUAAAAUAUAGUUCUCUUCUUCUCUGAGGCCUUUUUUCCAUUUUGGGCACUAGAUAAGUUGCUAGGGGGUCAAGUCUUGAAUAGAUUCCAUGUUUAACAAACUUUAAGAUUUUUGAAAUUUAUUAGGACCUCCUAAUCCCUUCUUGAAAGAAAUGGUAGACAACCUUAACUAGAUUUCUUAGUUAACAUCUAAGACCAGCC
rnacentral:lncRNA from 1 species